rnacentral:tRNA from 1 species
GGCGCUAUAGUGUAGUGGUUAUCACUUGGGAUUCUGAUUAGCUUGAACAACACCUUCCCAAGACCCAGGUUCGAUCCCUGGUAGCGCCU